rnacentral:rRNA from 1 species
UACGUAGGGAGCAAGCGUUGUCCGGAAUCAUUGGGCGUAAAGAGCUCGUAGGUGGCUGCAUAAGUCCGUUGUGAAAGUCAAAGGCUCAACCUUUGAAAGCCGAUGGAUACUGUGGAGCUAGAGUACGGAAGAGGCGAGUGGAAUUCCUGGUGUAGCGGUGGAAUGCGCAGAUAUCAGGAGGAACACCAAUAGCGAAGGCAGCUCGCUGGGACGUUACUGACACUGAGGAGCGAAAGCGUGGGGAGCGAACAGG